CAUAGAAGGAAGAGCACAAUGCACCUGAGCCACUAGACUUCCACAGGGGCAAGGGCAAGGGGAGAAAGCUCAGUUUCCCGAACCCUCCCCAACUACACUGGUGACUCAAUUACUCAGCAUUUCUCAACCUCCUUUCUCUUGGGGAUGAUCCCAAGGGGCUCUGCAGCCUGUACGCAGAAAUCCUAUAUCCAGCCAGGAAAUGCAGCCCCCCAGGGAAUGAAGGUGGCAGCUGCUCAACAGCCUCCAGCAACAGAGCACAGCACUUCACAGUGGGAAGUGAAGAAUCAUCCUAUGCCUAACAGAAACAUCAGGAAAAUCCAAGGAGACUGAAUGGAAUUACCUAGGCUGGAACGAGACCAGGACACUGAGACGAACACCCUGGCACUCGUGAAAGGCUCUGCUGUUAGAGGAGGCAGAGGCUGCUGCAGCAACUGCAUUCACCAGGCAAAUCACAAAUAUACAUUUCAAGAUAUGAGCUGACCCAGAGCAAAAGGAUAUGUUUGCUGCAGGCGUAAUAAACGAGACUGAAGCAGAGACUGGGUCAGGAGUCCCUGGCUAGCCUUCUAAGCAUAGUUUAAGUGAGAAACCUGGUUCUGGCUAUAGCAGCUUCUUCUCCAGGUGGAGACAGGCUGAGCUAUUUAUUGAAAUGAGUCUAUUCAGAUGCAGGACACCCACUUGGAAGACAUUAAGUCAGAAGGAAUGGCCAUAUUGUUGCAAGCCCCGCACUGAAAUAACAGAAUGGACACAUCCUCUGAGAACAAAGGAGGCUCAGUAAGUUACACAGAUCUCUCCAGUCCUCUCCUAGCUAUUACACAGAUGCUCAGCAACCAGUGAUCGCAGGAUUUUUCUACUGAGUUUGUUUCACUCCACAGUGCAUAUCUUAAAGCCUACAAGGACAAAAUGUGACAGCAGGACAAGGUGUGACCUGCAAGCAAGGAAUAGCUGCCUGCCUCUACAAAUGUUCAUCUGCUUUAGAGAGCUUUACUAUAAGACAGAAAAUUACAGUGAGGCUGGAAUUCGAACCAAAGUUACUUUUAAGGAAAUAUUUCCAAACAUGGUAGUAGGUACAUGUGGUUUUAGCCAUCUAUAAUAUGAACCGACCAGGCUGCUCACUCUCCUGCAUCACCAAUACACAACUCACAGCUGUGUUACUGGCUUCUCUCCUUAUCACUUACCCAAAAACUUCUGGCUCAAUGACCCCCCAGAGCAAAAUCCUAUAUCAUCAAGGACACCACCAGAGCAAGCCUCACUCAUGUCCCCCAACUCAAACAAGCCUUAGAGUAGUUCUGAGGCGCCCGACUUUAGGGACAAAUGGCCCUGAACAUUUUUAACACCUUUUUUUCCCUUUAAAUUUUAAUGGAAUAGACCCAACAGGCUGUCUAAUCCACCUCAAAGGCACAAUUAAGUACAUCAGAGCCAUCCCUGAAAGAUACUUCUCUGAACUGCUCUUAAAACUCUCAAUGAAAGGGAAUCUACAGCCUUCCAAGGUAGCCUAGCCUGCUCCAGUGCUUAAAUACCCUUAGCCUUGAAAGCUAACCUACAUCUCCCUUGCUGCAAACUAAGCCAAUUACUUCUUUCCUACCCACAGUGGGCAGAGACAGCAACUAAUCACUAUCUUCCUCCUUGCGUUUUAUGUAUUUGAAAACAACUGCUUUAUUUUUUUUAAGACGAUGCAAACAUAAGUCCUUCAAGCUUUCCUCACACACACUGUUUGCUCAGCCUUGUACCAUGCUUGACUCUCCAAUUUGUUUAUAUCAGAGGCAUCAAACACAUGGCCCAUGGAGUCACUCCAUCCAGCUGGCUGGGCUACUGGGGGACCAGGGAAUUUGGGGACAUGGCUAAGGGUGGGUGGGGCCUGCCACACAACCUGGGGAUAUGGCCCUCAGUGGCAAGGGGGCUGGAGAGGGCCUUGCCAGCACAGCUCUGCUUGCUCUGAAGCCACUUGGACUACUGCUGCUUGUGCCGUGUGUGCCACUGUAAGUGGCUGCCUAGCUCAUGGUCACUUACUCAACUGCCAUCAGUGCCAUGGAUCCAGGCCAGCAAGAAGCCCUGUGAUCUAGAUCCAGCCCAGGCUACAGAGCGAGUUUUACAACCCUGGUCGACACUUUUCCACAAGCACGGCACUGAACGUUCACAAGAGCUCCAGCACGAAACAGAGCUGAGCAAUUACCUCCCUUGUCUUGCACACGAUGUUCCUGUUCACGUAUUCCCAAGUGACACUCACCUCAUUUGCAAAAGCAUCAAGUUUAUGGCUUGUUUUGCCUGUGGUCCACCCCCCAACCCUCAGCAGCGCUGCAGAAAAGGGUCUGCUUGCCUCGCUCCUUCGGAGGGCUUAUUUGGCACCUCCCCCAGAAGCGCUGCACUUUGCACUUGACAGUGUUUCAUUGAUCCUGGACUGUCAAAGUCCUUUUGAAUUCAUCCGGCCCCGUGCAGUCCCCCUGGCCUGUGGUCACCCACCAACCUCCAAGUCCUUGGGGAAAAUACCCACUAUGCAAGGAUUUGCAAGGGAGAUGGGCAAGGAUGCAAGUUAUGGAAAAAUCGACAUCUCUGCACCAUUCUGACAAAUGUUGUCCUAAAGAUUAAAGAAAGUGUUUUGAUCCAGCCAGGAUCCCCAGUGAUGUUCCCAGGCCACAAGUGGGCUGCACUUUUGCUGCAGAAGAUGAGACGGCCUCAGUUUUGCCACAGAACAAGUUUGCCCUGUGAUGGAAGUGAGUGUGUCUUGCCAACAUCCAGUGUCCAUGAAUGCAGAGGAAGGAAGAAAAGCCACAGAGGCUGCUAAACAAUUCCCUUGGGAUUAUGGCUUACAUACCCUUGAACACACGUGUGGCCCAGCGACCCUGAAGCUCUGAGGUAGGCAUGAGGGCCCCCAGUGGCUGAACGAAGCCGAUGAAAGCCAACGUUGGCUUUUCCAGCGAUGAUGCGGUUUGGCAGAUCAUCGUUGAUGGUUGGAUGCUGGCUGAAAAACCUGAAUGGCAUAGAAAGGGGUACAAAAAU